rnacentral:lncRNA from 1 species
UGCCAUGUGAUGAAUUAGGUUGUUUGCAUUAGAAUUCACGAAUAUGUUGCAUUGCAUUUAUGAUGUUGAUGUGGAUCGGUUAUUGAAUGAUCCUUUAGUCCUCAUAUGAUAUGAUGAUGCUAUGGCAUGAGAUGGUAUGGAAGUCCAGGUUGUACCCAUUCUACAUCCCUGGCACAUUGGUAUGUUAUGAUAUGUUAUGUUAAGAGAAAGACCGGUUGUACCCAUUCUACGUCCCGGCACUUUGGAAUGUAGAGGACUAUUGGUGACAAUACCAUCCGAGAUGUGAUUUGUUGUGAUGUGUUGCAUUACAUGAUGGC